rnacentral:tRNA from 1 species
CCGUCGAUAGCUCAGUUGGUAGAGCGGUGGACUGUAGAGGUUUCCCCGAAGAUGGUGCAGACAUCCAUAGGUAGCUGGUUCGAAUCCGGCUCGACGGA